UAUUGGCGAUGAUGAAGAAAGGACAGCGUUAAAUGCCAGUUCUGCUUCAGAAAAUUCUUGAUUGAUAAGCUGUUAUUUACUCUGAGCCUCUC
rfam:Vitis vinifera, whole genome shotgun sequence of line PN40024, unoriented chromosome 19, chr19